rnacentral:rRNA from 1 species
GACGAACGCUGGCGGCGUGCUUAACACAUGCAAGUCGAACGGCAGCACGGGUGCUUGCACCUGGUGGCGAGUGGCGAACGGGUGAGUAAUACAUCGGAACGUACCUUAUCGUGGGGGAUAACGCAGCGAAAGCUGUGCUAAUACCGCAUACGCCCUGAGGGGGAAAGCGGGGGAUCGCAAGACCUCGCGCGAUUAGAGCGGCCGAUGCCUGAUUAGCUUGUUGGGGGGGUAAAAGCCCACCAAGGCGACGAUCAGUAGCUGGUCUGAGAGGACGAUCAGCCACACUGGGACUGAGACACGGCCCAGACUCCUACGGGAGGCAGCAGUGGGGAAUUUUGGACAAUGGGGGCAACCCUGAUCCAGCAAUGCCGCGUGAGUGAAGAAGGCCUUCGGGUUGUAAAGCUCUUUUGUCAGGGAAGAAACACCGGCUCUAACACAGUCCGGGAAUGACGGUACCUGAAGAAUAAGCACCGGCUAACUACGUGCCAGCCGCCGCAGUAA